GGCCUUUAGAAUUUAAUUUAAGGUCUGACCUGCCCAGUGAUGAAUUUAACGGCCGCGGUAUAUUGACCGUGCAAAGGUAGCAUAAUCAUUAGUCUUUUAAUAGAGGGCUGGAAUGAACGGUUUAACGAGGAAUUGACUGUCUCAUUUUAUUUGUUUUAAAAUUUAAUUUUUUAGUUAAAAAGCUAAAAUAAUAUUGGAAGACGAGAAGACCCUAUAGAUCUUUAUAUAAUUUUUUGUAUUUAUUUAUAUAUUAACAUAAUUGUAGUAAAAUUAUAUUUUGUUGGGGUGACAAAAAUAUAUAAUUAACUUUUUCAUUUAUUUACCAUUGAUGUAUGAUUUUUAGAUCCAUUUUUAGUGAUUGCUAGAGUAAGUUACCUUAGGGAUAACAGCGUAAUCCUCCUCCAGAGUUCAUAUUUACAGGAGGGCUUGCGACCUCGAUGUUGGAUUAAGAUAAUAAUUAGGUGUAGCCGCUUAAUUUAUAGGUCUGUUCGACCUUUAAAUUCUU
rnacentral:rRNA from 1 species